GCCCAGACUCCUACGGGAGGCAGCAGUGGGGAAUAUUGCACAAUGGGGGAAACCCUGAUGCAGCGACGCCGCGUGAGCGAAGAAGUAUUUCGGUAUGUAAAGCUCUAUCAGCAGGGAAGAAAUUGACGGUACCUGAGUAAGAAGCUCCGGCUAAAUACGUGCCAGCAGCCGCGGUAAUACGUAGGUGGCAAGCGUUGUCCGGAUUUACUGGGUGUAAAGGGCGUGUAGCCGGGAAGGCAAGUCAGAUGUGAAAUCCGGAGGCUCAACCUCCGAAUUGCAUUUGAAACUGUUUUUCUUGAGUACUGGAGAGGCAGACGGAAUUCCUUGUGUAGCGGUGAAAUGCGUAGAUAUAAGGAGGAACACCAGUGGCGAAGGCGGUCUGCUGGACAGCAACUGACGGUGAGGCGCGAAAGCGUGGGGAGCAAACAGGAUUAGAUACCCUAGUAACA
rnacentral:rRNA from 1 species